rnacentral:rRNA from 1 species
AGAGUUUGAUUAUGGCUCAGGAUGAACGCUAGCGGCAGGCCUAAUACAUGCAAGUCGAACGGGAUUUGAGUAGCAAUACUUAAUGAGAGUGGCGCACGGGUGCGUAACGCGUAUGCGACCUACCUUUAACAGGGGGAUAGCUCCGAGAAAUCGAAAUUAAUACCCCAUAGAAUUAUUGAUUGGCAUCAAUUAAUAAUUAAAGCUCCGGCGGUUAAAGAUGGGCAUGCGUGCCAUUAGCUAGUUGGUGAGGUAACGGCUCACCAAGGCAACGAUGGCUAGGGGUUCUGAGAGGAUUAUCCCCCACACUGGUACUGAGACACGGACCAGACUCCUACGGGAGGCAGCAGUAAGGAAUAUUGGGCAAUGGACGCAAGUCUGACCCAGCCAUGCCGCGUGCAGGAAGACAGCCCUAUGGGUUGUAAACUGCUUUUGUCAGGGAAUAACCCCCCGGAUGUAUCCGGGGCUGAAUGUACCUGAAGAAUAAGCAUCGGCUAACUCCGUGCCAGCAGCCGCGGUAAUACGGAGGAUGCGAGCGUUAUCCGGAUUCAUUGGGUUUAAAGGGUGCGCAGGCGGAUUAUUAAGUCAGUGGUGAAAUCCUACAGCUCAACUGUAGAACUGCCAUUGAUACUGAUAAUCUUGAGUGUAUAUGAAGUGGGCGGAAUGUAGCAUGUAGCGGUGAAAUGCAUAGAUAUGCUACAGAACACCAAUUGCGAAGGCAGCUCACUAAACUACAACUGACGCUCAUGCACGAAAGCGUGGGGAUCAAACAGGAUUAGAUACCCUGGUAGUC